rnacentral:rRNA from 1 species
CAAAGGUUGACCUCGGA